CUCCACUUACCCUCUCAUCUCUGCACGUGUCGAAUACAUCUGGCUUUCCACUUCCUUUCCAGCAAAAGGCAAAAGCCUCUCUGUCUCUCGUUCUUAGCUGCUUUUGGAGGCCUCCGAAUUUCAGAUCGUCAAAACCUCUGAUGUGGAUUUCGUCCAGCGGUCUAUAAGGUUAUUGAAAUAGGGAGGAACUCAAAUUCUGCGCCUGCGGUUUUAGUGGAUUUCGGAAUUCGAAAGGGAUGAAACGAUUUCAAGCAUUUUUCAGAUCAAUCACAUCAACAAAGCAGAGAGAUUCAACAAAAAAAAAAAAAACCCUAAAAAUUACAAA